AACCUUAUUGUGUAGCGGUUAUCACAUGGGAUUCUGAUGAGUAUCAAUUCCCCUCCUUUCCCAUGACCCAGGUUCGAUUCCUGGCAGGACUU